UUCGCUUCUUGGCCUUUUGGCUAAGAUCAAGUGUAGUAUCUGUUCUUAUCAGUUUAAUAUCUGAUACGUCCUCUAUCUGAGGACUACAUAUUAAAUGGAUUUUUGGAGCUGAAGGAAAGGACACGAAAUCAGACCUUCUCGGCGGUGGCUCCUCGCCUCUGGAAUAACCUUCCUCCAGCGAUUCGUGCGGCCCGUACGCUGGGCACUUU
rnacentral:snRNA from 1 species